rnacentral:rRNA from 1 species
GGGGAUGCACAGACAACUAGGAGGUUGGCUUAGAAGCAGCCACCCUUUAAAGAGUGCGUAACAGCUCACUAGUCGAGUGACCCUGCGCCGAAAAUGUACCGGGGCUAAGCAUGAUACCGAAGCUGCGGAUUCUGAUGAAUGGUAGGGGAGCGUUGCAUGCACGUGGAAGCCGUACCGGAAGGAACGGUGGAGAGCAUGGAAGAGAGAAUGCCGGUGUGAGUAGCGAGAUGCAGGUGAGAAUCCUGCACACCGAAAGCCCAAGGAUUCCAGGGGAAGGUUCGUCCGCCCUGGGUAAGUCGGGACCUAACGCGAGGCCGAAAGGCGUAGUGGAUGGAAAACAGGCAGAUAUUCCUGUACCCGUAAUGCAAGUGAUGGAGUGACGGAGAAGGCUAGUGUGACCCUAUGAAUGGAUUUAGGGCGAAGCGGAGCAGCAGGCUUACAGUGAAAUGCGUAAGCGAGAUGCAGGACGCGAUAGGUAAGCGAACGCGCGAGCAAGUAGCGAAGCACAUGAGGCCAGCUUCCAAGAAAAGCUUCUGGCGCAAAUUGGAUUACGGCCCGUACCAAAACCGACACAGGUGGGCAAGGAGAGUAUCCUAAGGUGAGCGAGAGAACUGUUGCCAAGGAACUCGGCAAAAAUACUCCGUAAGUUCGCGAGAAGGAGUGCUCUUGAGAGAGAGCCGCAGCGAAGAGGCCCAAGCGACUGUUUAACUAAAACACAGCUCUCUGCGAAGUCGCAAGACGAAGUAUAGGGGGUGACGCCUGCCCGGUGCUGGAAGGUUAAGGGGAGGAGUUAUCGAAAGAGAAGCUCUGAACCGAAGCCCCAGUGAACGGCGGCCGUAACUAUAACGGUCCUAAGGUAGCGAAAUUCCUUGUCAGGUAAGUUCUGACCCGCACGAAAGGUGUAAUGAUUUGGGCACUGUCUCGGCAGCAGACUCGGUGAAAUCUUAGUACCUGUGAAGAUGCAGGUUACCCGCAACUAGACGGAAAGACCCCAUGGAGCUUUACUGCAGUCUGCUAUUGAGUUUCGGUUGGAUAUGCACAGGAUAGGUGGGAGACGAUGAGACGUGGAUUUUGGUCUACGAGGAGUCACUGUUGGGAUACCACUCUUAUUCAACUGGAAUUCUAACUGAUAUCCGUGAUCCGGAUACAGGACCGUGGCAGAUGGGCAGUUUGACUGGGGCGGUCGCCUCCCAAAGAGUAACGGAGGCGCACAAAGGUACUCUCAGAAUGGUUGGAAAUCAUUCAGCGAGCGCAAACGCAGAAGAGUGCUUGACUGCGAGACAUACAGGUCGAGCAGGGACGAAAGUCGGUGUUAGUGAUCCGGCGGUGCAGAAUGGAAUGGCCGUCGCUUAACGGAUAAAAGCUACCCUGGGGAUAACAGGCUGAUCUCGCCCAAGAGUUCACAUCGACGGCGAGGUUUGGCACCUCGAUGUCGGCUCAUCGCAUCCUGGAGGUGAAUUCGCUUCCAAGGGUUGGGCUGUCCGCCCAUUAAAGCGGUACGCGAGCUGGGUUCAGAACGUCGUGAGACAGUUCGGUCCCUAUCUGUUGUGGGCGUUGGAAAUUUGAGGAGAGCUGCCCCUAGUACGAGAGGACCAGGGUGGACGUUCCUACGGUGCACCAGUUGUCACGCCAGUGGCACAGCUGGAUAGCUGAGAACGGACCGGAUAAACGCUGAAGGCAUCUAAGCGUGAAACCGACUCCAAGAUUAGAUUUCCCAUUGUUUCAAACAAAUAAGACCCCUUGAAGACGACGAGGUUGAUAGGUCAGGGAUGUAAGUACAGUGAUGUAUUGAGUUGACUGAUACUAAUAGGUCGAAGGUUUAUUCAC